GCCGGGAUCCGGACGGGGAGCAACCGGGGCAGGCCGUGCCGGCUGAGGAGGUCCUGAGGCUACAGAGCUGCCGCGGCUGGCACACGAGCGCCUCGGCACUAACCGAGUGUUCGCGGGGGCUGUGAGGGGAGGGCCCCGGGCGCCAUUGCUGGCGGUGGGAGCGCCGCCCGGUCUCAGCCCGCCCUCGGCUGCUCUCCUCCUCCGGCUGGGAGGGGCCGUAGCUCGGGGCCGUCGCCAGCCCCGGCCCGGGCUCGAGAAUCAAGGGCCUCGGCCGCCGUCCCGCAGCUCAGUCCAUCGCCCUUGCCGGGCAGCCCGGGCAGAGACCAUGUUUGACAAGACGCGGCUGCCGUACGUGGCCCUCGAUGUGCUCUGCGUGUUGCUGGAUUAUUCUUGGAGAAACCCUGUCUGUUUACUGUAACCUUUUGCACUCAAAUUCCUUUAUCAGGAAUAACUACAUAGCCACUAUUUACAAAGCCAUUGGAACCUUUUUAUUUGGUGCAGCUGCUAGUCAGUCCCUGACUGACAUUGCCAAGUAUUCAAUAGGCAGACUGCGGCCUCACUUCUUGGAUGUUUGUGAUCCAGAUUGGUCAAAAAUCAACUGCAGCGAUGGUUACAUUGAAUACUACAUAUGUCGAGGGAAUGCAGAAAGAGUUAAGGAAGGCAGGUUGUCCUUCUAUUCAGGCCACUCUUCGUUUUCCAUGUACUGCAUGCUGUUUGUGGCACUUUAUCUUCAAGCCAGGAUGAAGGGAGACUGGGCAAGACUCUUACGCCCCACACUGCAAUUUGGUCUUGUUGCCGUAUCCAUUUAUGUGGGCCUUUCUCGAGUUUCUGAUUAUAAACACCACUGGAGCGAUGUGUUGACUGGACUCAUUCAGGGAGCUCUGGUUGCAAUAUUAGUUGCUGUAUAUGUAUCGGAUUUCUUCAAAGAAAGAACUUCUUUUAAAGAAAGAAAAGAGGAGGACUCUCAUACAACUCUGCAUGAAACACCAACAACUGGGAAUCACUAUCCGAGCAAUCACCAGCCUUGAAAGGCAGCAGGGUGCCCAGGUGAAGCUGGCCUGUUUUCUAAAGGAAAAUGAUUGCCACAAGGCAAGAGGAUGCAUCUUUCUUCCUGGUGUACAAGCCUUUAAAGACUUCUGCUGCUGCUAUGCCUCUUGGAUGCACACUUUGUGUGUACAUAGUUACCUUUAACUCAGUGGUUAUCUAAUAGCUCUAAACUCAUUAAAAAAACUCCAAGCCUUCCACCAAAACAGUGCCCCACCUGUAUACAUUUUUAUUAAAAAAAUGUAAUGCUUAUGUAUAAACAUGUAUGUAAUAUGCUUUCUAUGAAUGAUGUUUGAUUUAAAUAUAAUACAUAUUAAAAUGUAUGGGAG
rnacentral:lncRNA from 1 species